rnacentral:lncRNA from 1 species
GCAAAAAUCUAUCAUUUGAUAGGGCAAACCCAACCCAGAAACCAACUUUUGUAUCUCAUAAUAUGUAGCUGGUGAAAGAUUAUCUUCCGGUAAUAUAUCUUUCACAAAAUCAGCUAUCGCAUCAACACAGUCUUCGCUUAAGUUAUAAUCUGUUUUAAUAGACAUCAUCCUUGUAGCAGAUGACAGAGGCGAAAUACCAUCUCUACAACCAUCAUA